GUGAACUUGAAUGGUGCUUCUGACCUGCCGAUCCCUGUGGCCGAAGCCACGGUGGAGGGAAGCUGGGCAAUGAAAUGAAAAUAAUGCAUGUCAAAGCUUGGGUACCAAAUCCCUAUGAAACAAAAGGCUUUCCCUGACUGACCAUGGACGAUCCUGAGAGCCCUGGACCUCCCCUGCAUCGCCCACCCACUGCAUCCUUCGACCCAGCAAGGCCGGGGACAUGGAAUAUGCUGAUCCCCAGCCUCGACAUUAAGAUAAGAGAGCUCAAGAAGCCAGAUGUCAUGACUGCAGGGGCAGCAGGUUUGCCGAGCGUCCAUGGCUUGGAGAAGAAAGCUGCAGUACAUC